rnacentral:rRNA from 1 species
CCUACGGGAGGCAGCAGUGGGGGAUAUUGCACAAUGGGGGAAACCCUGAUGCAGCGACGCCGCGUGUGGGAAGACGGUCCUCUGGAUUGUAAACCACUGUCCCCAGGGACGAAAAUGACGGUACCUGGGGAGGAAGCUCCGGCGAACUACGUGCCAGCAGCCGUGGUAAUACGUAGGGAGCGAGCGUUGUCCGGAAUUACUGGGUGUAAAGGGAGCGUAGGCGGGGAUGCAAGUUGGUGGUCAAAACUACGGGCUCAACUGGUAGUCGCACUCAAAACUGCAGCUCUUGAGUGAAGUAGAGGCAGGCGGAAUUCCUGGUGUAGCGGUGAAAUGCGUAGAUAUUAGGAGGAACACCAGUGGCGAAGGCGGCCUGCUGGGCUUUUACUGACGCUGAGGCUCGAAAGUGUGGGGAGCAAACAGGAUUAGAUACCCUUGUAGUC